rnacentral:lncRNA from 1 species
AGACCUCUUGCUGGCUGCCACAUCGGCACUGCCAACCGGUGGGGUGCAGCCCUGCUGAAGCCCCAGAGCUCAGCCCAGUGCUGGGCACAUAGUAGGCGCUCAGGAAAUGAUUGCUGAAUGUGGAAUGAAAGUCCCCAGCAGGCAAAAGGCUGUGACUUCUGUUAGUGGGGUGGUGGUCCUCUGGGGCGAGUGUAUGGAGAACUUCAAGGCCUCCUCCUGGCUGCCCAGGAAGUAGGUAAGACCUGAUUUUUGUCAAGCGUUUCUUAGAUGUUUUGUUUAAUUCCAGCUUCGUGGCCCCCUAUUUCUUGUCUACCCAUUUUCUAAGGCAGGACCGUGCUCACCACAGCAAAGGGAAAUAACUCCUUGAAAAGCCAAAGGAAUACAAGCCACCACUUCUCAGACCUUUCCCCUAUGAGAUCCAGAUACUACAGGCUAAAGGGAGUUUGAACCUGAAAUGAGCCAGAUAAUUGCCCCAAUUCUCUGUACCUUAUUGAAGAGGUAGUUACAGGCCAAGGGGUCCAAGGGGCCUCACUUUUAUAGACAUUGCUCUAAGUCAAAAGAAUACAUUAUACAUAUACAGCUGAGACACACACCCUCCGUCCUAGGCUGGCUCUCUGUGAACAAAGCAGGUUUCCUCCUUGCCACUCACCCCCACCCCCCAUACCACUUUCCCCCUCCUCUUUUCUCUUCGUCCUCCUCCUUAUUAUUAAUAGUUACUAUUUACUAAAUGCUGCCUGUGCACCUGGUAUUGUGCUAAAUGCUAGACACAUAGUACAUCAUAGUACAUUAAUUAAUCCUUACAUCAACUUUAAGAGUUAAGACACCAGAUUUUACAGAUGCAGAUACUAAGAGUUACUUUUCAAGCAUGAAGCACGUGUGUGUGUGUGUGUAUGUGUGUAUGUGAGAGAGAGAGAGAGAGAUACAGGCAGAUCUGAGUGCUCAAGUGUUAUAAAGAUAGAAAUAAAGAAAAUUGAGAAUGCGGAGAUCUUAAAGUUUUGAAAUAUAGAUGCUUUAAAAGGAUGCAGAUAAUUCCUCCUGCCCUAAAGUGAACAAAGAAGUGAGGCAAUUAACUGGCUAAUUCCAAGACCCAAAUGCUUUCCCUUGAAAUGGGCAGAUAAUGAGGCUGACAGUAUGUUCGCAGUUGAAUUCGCCUGAUGUUGCUCCAUUUUUUUCCCUAACUUUAGCGAAUCCGUUGGGCAAUCACAGUGAGAUGCACAGACGUCACCCCAGACGUGCACAUAUUCACACACACACUCACACACAGGAAUGCUGACACAUACAGACCCGACUUUAUUCUGCCUCUACAGUCUUUUAUGACUCAGCCUCCAGAAUGAAAAUAGGGGUUGGAGCGAAAUAAUGUGUCCGAGGGUGCAGCUGCUCCAGAUGUGCGCUGGGUAAUUAGGCAUCCUCAAGAGCUCCUGCCCGGCUGGGAAAUGCACCUCUUGUGGGACUGUAGACCCCAGCAGGCGCCCCAUCAUAGUCUGCCCCAUAGUAGGUGCCUGUCCUUUGCUGCCUGGUCCCAGCAGCCCGUCCCUCCUCUUGUUGCCUUCCUCCUCCGCAGGUGAUUCUCUGGCUCCUCUGUUUUAGGAAUAACUUUGCAGAAAUGUCUCUCAGAGGGCUCUGCAGUAUAAAAUGGCAUCUCUGCCACAGGGGAAGGGGAAGAGGGACCCUGGUUUCUCCUAUCCUGCUCUUCCUAGGCCCUGGACGUUUCUGAGGGGCUCAUUCCAGAACAAGACCUCUCUUUCCUUGCUCCACAAGAAUUUAACAAAGAGGCCCUAUUUGGGCCAAGAAGGAGAGUGGCCUGACUGGCCCUAACCCCCCUCGUUUGGGGGCUGUGGAGCAGUCCUGCUGCUGGCAGCUUCUCUUAGUUGUUGAGUCUCUUUCACAAAGCAUUCACACUUCACAACUUCCCUUUCCAGUAGGUCUUCAUCUGGGCACCUCGGGGCCUAAGGCACUUGGCCAGGGUCAUGCAGCUAGGGACGUCAUAAGUGAGGAGUUGGCAUUUCUUGGAAGAGGGGGCUGGAUUUGCCCUGGCUUUGAAUCCUGUACUGGCUGUCCCUAUAUCCGCCUCUAGUUUUCUUAUGGGCCUCCCCAAAUUUGAAACCCAAGAAACGCCAAACUUCCAACAUAGAAAACACCAAAAAGCUGCCUUUCUGGAGAUGAAUUUUGCUUACAAGAAAGACACGUUUGGAGGGGGUGAAUGGUCGUGGUAAUUUGGGGUAAAGAACAUUCCACUUGGAAUAGAGGGCUCCUCCUCCAGCCCUGCUUCACCACUUUUAAUAGCUGCUCCGAUCUUGGGCUAAUCACUUAAUUCCUUCGGACCUCAGUGUCUUCUUUUGCAAGCUGGGGGAGGGGUUUAAAGAUGCUGGCGCUGCCCUCUAGCCGGCUGCUGGGGACAUCAAAGGAGAUUCGGGCUGUGGAAGGCUCCCUAGCGUCGGAGAUGGAGUUAGGAGGUAAGGGCCAGGGGGUGGGAGCGGAUGGGGCCUUGAUUAGCUGUGGAUUUCUGUCCCAGCGCACUCAUUUAACCGUGUUUCUCUUGGUUGGCAGAGGGCGCCAAAGGCGACGUGCCGGCCGCCAGCUCCAGGCCGAGCCCCGAGCGCCUGCAGGAACACGCCCCUUCACCCGGCGCGGGACGCAGAGCUGCGAGAGAAUCUUGUUCAGCGCGGACUCAACGCCAGGGCGCCGCCUAGAGGUUGGUCUCUGUCUCGGCCUCACCCGCCGGGAGACCACAGAGCUGCUUCCCCAGCCGCCCGCCGCCAGAAAUUGGAAAAAAAAAAAAAAAAAAAAAAAAAAUCCAGCUGGGGUCUAGGAACUCGGCUUCUGGCACCUCUGAAUUCUCCGAGACUGUCUCCUCCCUCCCCGCCUGUAAUGAACCCUGUGAAGGGAGACAGGCCAGGAAGUCCCAGAAAUAUUUAUUCUUGUGACUCUCACAAAAUGGA